GACUUCGGUAGGUGAGGCUACCGUAGGGAUAUGGAUUGCUACCGCGAAAUAAUGGAGACACUAUUAGAUGGUUAGCAGAGUAUGUCGACUAAGGCAUAAUCUAACGCAAUUUCACCGCCCUACGAUGCUAAAGCUUGGACGGUU
rnacentral:sRNA from 1 species